AUGAAUGGUUGGAUGAAAGAGUAUCUUUCUUUAUAUUAAAUAUUGAAUUUAAUUUUUUAGUCAAAAAGCUUAAAUUUAUAAAUGGGACGAGAAGACCCUAUAGA
rnacentral:rRNA from 1 species